AUACUUCCCUGGCAGGGGAGAUACCAUGCUCAUGAAGGUGGGUCUCCCAGGGCAAGGCUCACCCAUUACACUCGAGGUGUGCACUCCCUGCGAUUUCCCCAAAUGCGGGAAACUCAGCUGCAUAAUUUGUGGUAGUGGGAGAUUGCAUUUGCGCUCUCUCCUG